GUAAAAAAGCUCGUAGUUGGACUUCUGUUGAGGAUGGCCGGUCCAUACCACGUAUGCGCAUCUGGUUUUUCAUCCUCGGCAUCCUCUCGAAAUACGUUGCUGUGCUUGAUUGCAUGGUGCGGAGUUCGGGACUUUUACUUUGAGGAAAUUAGAGUGUUCACGGCGGGCUAUCGCCCGAAUACGUUAGCAUGGAAUAAUAAUAUAGGAUCUCGGUUCUAUUUUGUUGGUUUCUAGGAUUGAGAUAAUGAUUAAUAGGGACAAUUGGGGGCAUUCGUAUCAAUACGUCAGAGGUGGAAUUCUUGGAUUGUAUUGCGACGAACUACUGCGAAAGCAUUUGCCAAGGAUGUUUUCAUUGAUCAAGAACGAAAGUAAGGGGAUCGAAGAUGAUUAGAUACCGUCGUAGUCUUUACCACAAACUAUGCCGACUAGAGAUAGGGCAUCGUUCAUUUACGACUUGCUCUGCACCUUAUGAGAUAUCAAAGUUUUUGGGUUCCGGGGGGAGUAUUGGCGCAAGCUAGGAACUUAAAGGAAUUGACGGAA
rnacentral:rRNA from 1 species